rfam:Myotis davidii contig46122, whole genome shotgun sequence.
AGACCCAGAGAGGGAGGCAGGGUCUGAUCUGCAGCCUCAGUGGCAGCUGUUGAUCAGUACUUGUCUCUCUCUUUCUCUCCC